rnacentral:rRNA from 1 species
CGAACGCUGGCGGCGUGCCUAAUACAUGCAAGUGGGACGCAAGAGAACACACUGUGCUUGCACACCGUGUUUUCUUGAGUCGCGAACGGGUGAGUAACGCGUAGGUAACCUGCCUAUUAGCGGGGGAUAACUAUUGGAAACGAUAGCUAAUACCGCAUAAUAUUAAUUAUUGCAUGAUAAUUGAUUGAAAGAUGCAAGCGCAUCACUAGUAGAUGGACCUGCGUUGUAUUAGCUAGUUGGUAAGGUAAGAGCUUACCAAGGCGACGAUACAUAGCCGUCCUGAGAGGGUGAUCGCCACACUGGGACUGAGACACGGCCCAGACUCCUACGGGAGGCAGCAGUAGGGAAUCUUCGGCAAUGGACGAAAGUCUGACCGAGCAACGCCGCGUGAGUGAAGAAGGUUUUCGGAUCGUAAAGCUCUGUUUGUA